rnacentral:rRNA from 1 species
GAUGAACGCUGGCGGCGUGCCUAAUACAUGCAAGUCGAGCGAACAGACGAGGAGCUUGCUCCUCUGACGUUAGCGGCGGACGGGUGAGUAACACGUGGAUAACCUACCUAUAAGACUGGGAUAACUUCGGGAAACCGGAGCUAAUACCGGAUAAUAUAUUGAACCGCAUGGUUCAAUAGUGAAAGACGGUUUUGCUGUCACUUAUAGAUGGAUCCGCGCCGCAUUAGCUAGUUGGUAAGGUAACGGCUUACCAAGGCAACGAUGCGUAGCCGACCUGAGAGGGUGAUCGGCCACAGUGGAACUGAGACACGGUCCAGACUCCUACGGGAGGCAGCAGUAGGGAAUCUUCCGCAAUGGGCGAAAGCCUGACGGAGCAACGCCGCGUGAGUGAUGAAGGUCUUCGGAUCGUAAAACUCUGUUAUUAGGGAAGAACAAAUGUGUAAGUAACUAUGCACGUCUUGACGGUACCUAAUCAGAAAGCCACGGCUAACUACGUG